AAGUCGUAACAAGGUUUCCGUAGGUGAACCUGCGGAAGGAUCAUUAAUGAAAUAUGGAGAGGUGUCUGGCUGGCGCAAAUCUUGUCUUUUCGAUGGGAUAAGCAACACCGGUACCUUUUCCUAAUCUUUCCAUCCAAUCCGUUGAACUGUUUGCGCGAACGGCUCCUUAUUUUUGGGAGUCUGGUAGUGUGAAUGUACAUCUUUAUUAUACCCAAUUUAUUACAAGUCUGAAAACACAUAAAUAACAAACGAUAAAACUUUCAACAACGGAUCUCUUGGUUCUC
rnacentral:misc_RNA from 1 species